AAAAUAUAAGAAAUUGUCUCUUAACUUUUAACUAAAAAAGCUAAGAACCGGCUCUUAAAUAAGAGAUUUAAGAACCGGUUCUUAGUUUUUUUAGUUAAAAGUUAAGAUACGGUUUCUUAUAUUCC
rfam:Brassica napus, WGS project CCCW01000000 data, contig: 257